rnacentral:rRNA from 1 species
GCAAGUCGAACGAGAACGGUUCCUUCGGGGACUUAUUAAAGUGGCGAACGGGUGAGUAACACGUGAGUAACGUGCCCUUAAGUGGGGGAUAACUAGGCGAAAGUCUAGCUAAUACCGCAUAAGACCACAAGAACUUCGGUUCAAGGGGUCAAAGGCUUCGGCCGCUUAAGGAUCGGCUCGCGGUCCAUUAGGUAGUUGGUAAGGUAAUGGCUUACCAAGCCUCAGAUGGAUAGCUGUUCUGAGAGGAAGAUC